rnacentral:rRNA from 1 species
AGCGGACGCUGGCGGUAGGCCUAACACAUGCAAGUCGAACGGCAGCACAGUAAGAGCUUGCUCUUACGGGUGGCGAGUGGCGGACGGGUGAGGAAUACAUCGGAAUCUACUUUUUCGUGGGGGAUAACGUAGGGAAACUUACGCUAAUACCGCAUACGACCUACGGGUGAAAGCAGGGGAUCUUCGGACCUUGCGCGAUUGAAUGAGCCGAUGUCGGAUUAGCUAGUUGGCGGGGUAAAGGCCCACCAAGGCGACGAUCCGUAGCUGGUCUGAGAGGAUGAUCAGCCACACUGGAACUGAGACACGGUCCAGACUCCUACGGGAGGCAGCAGUGGGGAAUAUUGGACAAUGGGCGCAAGCCUGAUCCAGCCAUACCGCGUGGGUGAAGAAGGCCUUCGGGUUGUAAAGCCCUUUUGUUGGGAAAGAAAAGCAGCAGGUUAAUACCCCGCUGUUCUGACGGUACCCAAAGAAUAAGCACCGGCUAACUUCGUG